AACAUUCUUCUUUUUUCGCAGGUCCGAAAUGCUUGCGUUGGAUAUCCAGACGAAAAACUCGGAAACUCAGUUUGCUAUAGAUCGAAAUGUAAAAGUGGACAAACUGUGUUUUCUUACGUCACCGUAGCCGAAAUUGAGACUUACAAACGAAACACUUCUUCACAUAUUGGCUACAAUGAGGAGGUCAUUGAUUUCGAGCCAGUAGAUUGCUCUCCACAGACUAGCGGCGUGUCGAUUCUCACAGAAGAGCCCACUAUACAAAUCAGUACUGAGCCAGACCAAGAAGUUAGAAUCUUAGAGCGAGUGGUAGAUGGAAAACUUGUGCGCAAGUUGAGCUAUAUGGGACAUGGAUUUGGGUUUCAUAUGCCGAGCGACAUGGAUGAAUCAGAAAGCUGUGACUGCGAAGAGUAGUAUUUACUUGAACACAAUGCCUGCGACCAAAGAAUCACAUAAAAGUAGUAGUUUCGAAUUAUGUCACUUGUGCCUGCUGAUACUUGCGAUUUCAUUAAGUUUAAUAAUUCACUUAAGUUAUUAUUGGUCACAGCAGAGUUUCAGAAUUCAGCAGAUUUUCUAUUUUUUUUCC